rnacentral:rRNA from 1 species
GACGAACGCUGGCGGCGUGCUUAACACAUGCAAGUCGAACGGAAAGGCCCUGCUUUUGUGGGGUGCUCGAGUGGCGAACGGGUGAGUAACACGUGAGUAACCUGCCCUUGACUUUGGGAUAACUUCAGGAAACUGGGGCUAAUACCGGAUAGGAGCUCCUGCUGCAUGGUGGGGGUUGGAAAGUUUCGGCGGUUGGGGAUGGACUCGCGGCUUAUCCGCUUGUUGGUGGGGUAGUGGCUUACCAAGGCUUUGACGGGUAGCCGGCCUGAGAGGGGGACCGGCCACAUUGGGACUGAGAUACGGCCCAGACUCCUACGGGAGGCAGCAGUGGGGAAUAUUGCACAAUGGGCGGAAGCCUGAUGCAGCAACGCCGCGUGCGGGAUGACGGCCUUCGGGUUGUAAACCGCUUUCGCCUGUGACGAAGCGUGAGUGACGGUAAUGGGUAAAGAAGCACCGGCUAACUACGUG